rnacentral:pre_miRNA from 1 species
UGAUGAUGACGAUGAUGAUGAUGACGAUGAUGACGACGACGAUGAUGAUGACGACGAUGAUGAUCGUCGUCAUCAUCAUCAUCAUCAUCAUGAUGG